rnacentral:misc_RNA from 1 species
GGAAAAUCUUUAUUCGCUUCCAAACCAUGCCUCAAAAUUUCUAUCUACAGCGGAAGGAGAGGUACGACCUGCGGCAUCGACUCUGGGAGGCUCUUGGGGAAAGUGUCUCUACCUUUGGAUAUGGCGGGAACUGAUUCUAGGGCAACAGUGUUCCACAAUGGAUGGAUUUCAGUGGGGAAAGACUCCAAGGUUUCUUGUGCGCAAUUCCAUUUGAAUGUGAGAGCGGAACCCGACCCGAGAUUCGUGUUUCAGUUCGACGGCGAGCCCGAAUGUAGUCCACAAGUGUUUCAGAUUCAGGGAAACAUCAG